rnacentral:rRNA from 1 species
GUGAGGAAUAUUGGUCAAUGGGCGGGAGCCUGAACCAGCCAAGUCGCGUGAAGGAAGAAGGAUCUAUGGUUUGUAAACUUCUUUUGCAGGGGAAUAAAGUGCAGGACGUGUCCUGUUUUGUAUGUACCCUGAUAAUAAGGAUCGGCUAACUCCGUGCCAGCAGCCGCGGUAAUACGGAGGAUCCGAGCGUUAUCCGGAUUUAUUGGGUUUAAAGGGUGCGUAGGUGGUUUGAUAAGUCAGCGGUGAAAGUUUGCAGCUUAACUGUAAAAAUGCCGUUGAAACUGUCGGACUUGAGUGUAAAUGAGGUAGGCGGAAUGCGUGGUGUAGCGGUGAAAUGCAUAGAUAUCACGCAGAACUCCGAUUGCGAAGGCAGCUUACUAAGCUACAACUGACACUGAAGCACGAAAGCGUGGGGAUCAAACAGGAUUAGAAACCCCGGUAGUCC